rnacentral:rRNA from 1 species
UACGUAGGGUGCGAGCGUUAAUCGGAAUUACUGGGCGUAAAGCGUGCGCAGGCGGUUUGAUAAGCCAGAUGUGAAAUCCCCGAGCUCGACUUGGGAACUGCGUUUGGAACUGUCAGACUAGAGUGCGUCAGAGGGGGGUGGAAUUCCGCGUGUAGCAGUGAAAUGCGUAGAGAUGCGGAGGAACACCGAUGGCGAAGGCAGCCCCCUGGGAUGACACUGACGAUCAUGCACGAAAGAGUGGGGAUCAAACAGG